GUCAGAAUGGCCGAGUGGUCUAAGGCGCCAGACUCAAGCUCCAAAUGGAGGCGUGGGUUCAAAUCCCACUUCUGACA